rnacentral:rRNA from 1 species
UACGGGGGGGGCAAGCGUUGUUCGGAAUUACUGGGCGUAAAGGGCUCGUAGGCGGCCAACUAAGUCGGACGUGAAAUCCCUCGGCUUAACCGGGUAACUGCGUCCGAUACUGGAUGGCUUGAGUUCGGGAGAGGGAUGCGGAAUUCCAGGUGUAGCGGUGAAAUGCGUAGAUAUCUGGAGGAACACCGGUGGCGAAGGCGGCAUCCUGGACCGACACUGACGCUGAGGAGCGAAAGCCAGGGGAGCAAACGGG